GAUCAUUACCGAGUUAUCCAACUCCCAACCCCUGUGAAUUAUACCUUUAAUUGUUGCUUCGGCGGGACUUCGCGCCCGCCGGGGACCCAAACCUUCUGAAUUUUUUAAUAAGUAUCUUCUGAGUGGUUAAAAAAAAAUGAAUCAAAACUUUCAACAACGGAUCUCUUGGUUCUGGCAUCGAUGAAGAACGCAGCGAAAUGCGAUAAGUAAUGUGAAUUGCAGAAUUCAGUGAAUCAUCGAAUCUUUGAACGCACAUUGCGCCCGUCAGUAUUCUGGCGGGCAUGCCUGUUCGAGCGUCAUUACGCCCCUCAAGUCCCCUGUGGACUUGGUGUUGGGGAUCGGCGAGGCUGGUUUUCCAGCACAGCCGUCCCUCAAAUCAAUUGGCGGUCUCGCCGUGGCCCCUCCUCUGCGCAGUAGUAAAACACUCGCAACAGGAGCCCGGCGCGGUCCACUGCCGUAAAACCCCCCAACUUUUUAUAGUGACCUCGAAUCAGGUAGGACUA
rnacentral:rRNA from 1 species